rnacentral:rRNA from 1 species
CUACUGAGACUAGUGUCAGCGCCAUUUGUUUCGCUGUUGCCGAGAUAUAUAGUUCGGCAUCGCGCGUGCGCCUUGCCGCUGUGUGAGCUUUGCGUGCGCGCUUUGAAGCCGGUCAAAACCUAACUAAUACCGCAUACGUCCUACGGGAGAAAGCAGGGGACCUUCGGGCCUUGCGCUAUCAGAUGAGCCUAGGUCGGAUUAGCUAGUUGGUGGGGUAAUGGCUCACCAAGGCGACGAUCCGUAACUGGUCUGAGAGGAUGAUCAGUCACACUGGAACUGAGACACGGUCCAGACUCCUACGGGAGGCAGCAGUGGGGAAUAUUGGACAAUGGGCGAAAGCCUGAUCCAGCCAUGCCGCGUGUGUGAAGAAGGUCUUCGGAUUGUAAAGCACUUUAAGUUGGGAGGAAGGGUUGUAGAUUAAUACUCUGCAAUUUUGACGUUACCGACAGAAUAAGCACCGGCUAACUCUGUGCCAGCAGCCGCGGUAAUACAGAGGGUGCAAGCGUUAAUCGGAAUUACUGGGCGUAAAGCGCGCGUAGGUGGUUUGUUAAGUUGGAUGUGAAAUCCCCGGGCUCAACCUGGGAACUGCAUUCAAAACUGACUGACUAGAGUAUGGUAGAGGGUGGUGGAAUUUCCUGUGUAGCGGUGAAAUGCGUAGAUAUAGGAAGGAACACCAGUGGCGAAGGCGACCACCUGGACUAAUACUGACACUGAGGUGCGAAAGCGUGGGGAGCAAACAGGAUUAGAUACCCUGGUAGUCCACGCCGUAAACGAU